GACGAAUGCUGGCUGCGUGCUUAACACAUGCAAGUCGAACGGUGAAGGAGGGCUUGCCCUCCGGAUCAGUGGCGAACGGGUGAGUAACACGUGGGCAACCUGCCCCUCACUCUGGGAUAACGCCGGGAAACCGGCGCUAAUACCGGAUACGACCAGGCGCGACAUCUCGCCUGGUGGAAAGAAUUUCGGUGAGGGAUGGGCCCGCGGCCUAUCAGCUAGUUGGGGGGGUAACGGCCACCAAGGCGACGACGGGUAGCCGGCCUGAGAGGGCGACCGGCCACACUGGGACUGAGACACGGCUCAGACUCCUACGGGAGGCAGCAGUGGGGAAUAUUGCGCAAUGGGCGAAAGCCUGACGCAGCGACGCAGCGUGAGGGACGAAGGCCUUCGGGUUGUAAACCUCUUUCAGCGGGGACGAAGCGAAAGUGACGGUACCCGCAGAAGAAGCACCGGCUAACUACGUGCCAGCCGCCGCAGUAACAC
rnacentral:rRNA from 1 species